AACGAACGCUGGUGGCAUGCCUAACACAUGCAAGUCGAACGAUCCCUUCGGGGAUAGUGGCGCACGGGUGCGUAACGCGUGGGAACCUGCCCUUAGGUUCGGAAUAACUCAGAGAAAUUUGAGCUAAUACCGGAUAAUGUCUUCGGACCAAAGAUUUAUCGCCUUUGGAUGGGCCCGCGUUGGAUUAGCUAGUUGGUGGGGUAAAGGCCUACCAAGGCGACGAUCCAUAGCUGGUCUGAGAGGAUGAUCAGCCACACUGGGACUGAGACACGGCCCAGACUCCUACGGGAGGCAGCAGUGGGGAAUAUUGGACAAUGGGCGAAAGCCUGAUCCAGCAAUGCCGCGUGAGUGAUGAAGGCCUUAGGGUUGUAAAGCUCUUUUACCCGGGAUGAUAAUGACAGUACCGGGAGAAUAAGCCCCGGCUAACUCCGUG
rnacentral:rRNA from 1 species